rnacentral:rRNA from 1 species
GACGAACGCUGGCGGCGUGCUUAACACAUGCAAGUCGAACGGAAAGGCCCUGCUUUUGUGGGGUGCUCGAGUGGCGAACGGGUGAGUAACACGUGAGUAACCUGCCCUUGACUUUGGGAUAACUUCAUGAAACUGGGGCUAAUACCGGAUAUGAGCUCCUGCUGCAUGGUGGGGGUUGGAAAGUUUCGGCGGUUGGGGAUGGACUCGCGGCUUAUCAGCUUGUUGGUGGGGUAGUGGCUUACCAAGGCUUUGACGGGUAGCCGGCCUGAGAGGGUGACCGGCCACAUUGGGACUGAGAUACGGCCCAGACUCCUACGGGAGGCAGCAGUGGGGAACAGUGCACAAUGGGCGGAAGCCUGAUGCAGCAACGCCGCGUGCGGGAUGACGGCCUUCGGGUUGUAAACCGCGUUCGCCUGUGACGAAGCGUGAGUGACGGUAAUGGGUAAAGAAGCACCGGCUAACUACGUG